GCUGUAUGUAGGUGCUGGAGGGCUGCGGGAGGCGUGAGGAAAAGGGCAUCUAGAAUUUAGCAUCCAAACGCUGUUCGCUCGCCAGCGGCGCGGAUUGGACGAGAAACUUGGGCUCCCUCAGCCUCUGUUUCCCCCUCUGUAGCGCCGCCUACCGUGCAGGCCUUGGCGAGCAAUCUGAGGUGAUGCGGAAAGCGCCCUGGGCGGGCGGGCGCGCGCGUCUAUCCCUGCGCGCGGGGCGCAGAGCCUGCGAGUCGACCCAGCAGAGCGCGGAAAGAGUCCUAGCCGUAGCCUCAGUGCCGGAGAUGGAACCUAGGACCUUGUGCAACUGAGUUCGGGGUGACUUUGAACUCACUUGUAGCCCAGGCUGGCCUCGAACUUGUGGCAAUCCUCCUGCCUCAGCCUCCUAAGUGCUGGGAUUACUGGUGUGUGGCACCAUGCUUAGGUGCCCUUCCCUUUUGAAAAAGAUCUCCCUACUUUCUAUUAUCUAUCCUUUAUUUUGCUCUUUAUUUAUAUUUUGGGUUUGUCAUAUAAUAGAAACCAUGCAAUAUUUAAA
ensembl:lncRNA